UAUUUACAUAAUUUAUAAAGAAUACUGCAUUGAAGUUGCAGAAGAGGUAGACUUAUCUGUGAAUAA
rnacentral:tRNA from 1 species